AGCAGCCGCGGUAAUUCCAGCUCCAAUAGCGUAUAUUAAAGUUGUUGCAGUUAAAAAGCUCGUAGUUGAAUUUCGGGAUUGACGUGAUGGUCGUGCCUUAAGGGGUAUGAACUGUCGCUGUUGAUUUCUCACCUUCUGGAGAAACUUGAUGUCCUUAAUUGGGUGUCUUGCGGAUCCAGGACCUUUACCUUGAAAAAUUAGAGUGUUUAAAGCAGGCAUUUUUGCUCGAAUACAUUAGCAUGGAAUAAUAGAAUAGGACGGCAUGGUUCUAUUUUGUUGGUUUCUAGGAUCACCGUAAUGAUUAAUAGGGAUAGUUGGGGGCAUUAGUAUUCAAUUGUCAGAGGUGAAAUUCUUGGAUUUAUUGAAGACUAACUACUGCGAAAGCAUUUGCCAAGGAUGUUUUCAUUAAUCAAGAACGAAAGUUAGGGGAUCGAAGACGAUCAGAUACCGUCGUAGUCUUAACCAUAAACUAUGCCGACUAGGAAUCAGACGAUGUUAAUUUUUAAUGACUCGUUUGGUA
rnacentral:misc_RNA from 1 species